ACAGAUGAGCUGGAGGAGAAAAGAAAAGAACUGGAGACCAAAACUUCUGCCUUAGACCAGACUAAGAGACAUCUCGAUGAAGUAUUGAAGGAAAACCGGAAGCUCAAAGAUGAGAAGCAGCAGCUGGAAAAUAGCGUUAAAAAGAAGUAAAUGGAUUCCAGACUGAUGAACCAGCGAUGACCUCAUGUUGAAAAUACUUUUGUCCCUGAGGACUGGAAACCAGCUGCAGGCCAC